rnacentral:rRNA from 1 species
AGCGAACGCUGGCGGCAGGCUUAACACAUGCAAGUCGAGCGGAGAGAAGUAGCUUGCUACUGAUCUUAGCGGCGGACGGGUGAGUAAUGCUUAGGAAUCUGCCUAUUAGUGGGGGACAACAUUUCGAAAGGAAUGCUAAUACCGCAUACGUCCUACGGGAGAAAGCAAGGGAUCUUCGGACCUUGCGCUAAUAGAUGAGCCUAAGUCGGAUUAGCUAGUUGGUGGGGUAAAGGCCUACCAAGGCGACGAUCUGUAGCGGGUCUGAGAGGAUGAUCCGCCACACUGGGACUGAGACACGGCCCAGACUCCUACGGGAGGCAGCAGCGGGGAAUAUUGGACAAUGGGCGGAAGCCUGAUCCAGCCAUGCCGCGUGUGUGAAGAAGGCCUUAUGGUUGUAAAGCACUUUAAGCGAGGAGGAGGCUACUUUAGUUAAUACCUAGAGAUAGUGGACGUUACUCGCAGAAUAAGCACCGGCUAACUCUGUGCCAGCCGCCGCCGUAAGAC